AGCACGUGAUCAGAGGAAACUAGUACUGUGACUAAACUGAUGAGUUAGUAGCUAACAGUUCAACGGUCUAUAAGACUUCCUCACUUCGAAGUUUUAUUAGCGUUCACGUAUUCAGAAAAAAUAAAAUAAAAAUUAAAAAGAAAAUCGCCUACGCUGGUUUUUAGCUUGGUGGUUACACGUUUAAAACUAAAGACAAAUACAUGUUCAACGUAGUACUGAGGUCAAAAUUACAAGGUCAAGGAUAUGCAGCUUGGACCCAUGCCAGAUGUGUAUAUUAAACACAAGAAACUCGAGAACUAAUUGCAGUUCCCCUUCCCGUCCCUCUAACUAUCUCAGAAUAAUGUCAUUCAAUCUCCUAGAUUGUAACUGGAGAUUCCAACAAGGAAACUAGUUAGGCCCAGUCUGAAGUGCCCUGAUUGCUUGUGGUAACUACUUCUUUGCGGUAUGUUUCAGAUAUGAUGAAGAACUCUGCAAAGAAAUGUCAUCUGUAAAACUUGAUGGAAGACAGGUGCAGCCCACAUGGAACUAUUCAACAUGUCAACACAGUGCCCAAAACAUUCUUUAAAAGUAGGGAUGCAACAGACAUUUGAUCAAGCAGGUGUCAUACAUAUAGUAGUCCUUGACAGAGAUGGACAGCAAAACAUAAUUUUUCUGUAAAGCUAAACCCUGCCUCAACUUUUAAAAAUGUCACAGGUACUCUUGGAGUGAAUAAAAAUAUAUAAAAACUCA